GCCAGCAUGGUGUAGUGGUAAAGUGCUGGACUAUAACUCUGGAGACCAGAGUUCAAAUCCACAUUCAGCCA